AACGAACGCUGGCGGCGCGCCUAAUACAUGCAAGUCGAGCGAGAAGGUGUAGCAAUACACUUGUAAAGCGGCGAACGGGUGAGGAAUACAUGGGUAAUCUACCAUCGAGUGGGGAAUAACCAACCGAAAGGUUGGCUAAUACCGCGUACGCCUCCGAGUCUUCGGGUUCGGAGGGAAAGCUGCACUGUGAGUGUAGCGCUCUUUGAUGAGCUCAUGUCCUAUCAGCUUGUUGGUAGGGUAACGGCCUACCAAGGCUUUGACGGGUAGCUGGUCUGAGAGGACGAUCAGCCACACUGGCACUGCGACACGGGCCAGACUCCUACGGGAGGCAGCAGUAAGGAAUAUUGCGCAAUGGGCGAAAGCCUGACGCAGCGACGCCGCGUGGGGAUGAAGGUCUUCGGAUUGUAAACCCCUUUCGGGAGGGAAGAUGGAGCGAGCAAUCGUUCGGACGGUACCUCCAGAAGCAGCCACGGCCAACUUCGUGCCAGCAGCCG
rnacentral:rRNA from 1 species